rnacentral:rRNA from 1 species
GCCAUAAGAUGAGCCCGCAUUUGAUUAGUUAGUUGGUGAGGUAAUGGCUCACUAAGACAAUGAUCAAUAGCUGAUCUGAGAGGAUGAUCAGCCACACUGGGACUGAGACACGGCCCAGACUCCUACGGGAGGCAGCAGUGGGGAAUCUUGCACAAUGGAGGAAACUCUGAUGCAGCGAUGCCGCGUGAGUGAAGAAGGCCUUUGGGUUGUAAAGCUCUUUUGUAGGGGAAGAUAAUGACUGUACCCUAAGAAUAAGGUCCGGCUAACUUCGUGCCAGCAGCCGCGGUAAUACGAAGGGACCUAGCGUAGUUCGGAAUUACUGGGCGUAAAGCGCGCGUAGGCCGUUGAGUUAGUUAAUUGUGAAAUCCCAAAGCUUAACUUUGGAACUGCAAUUAAAACUGCUCGACUAGAGUUUGAUAGAGGAAAGCGGAAUACAUAGUGUAGAGGUGAAAUUCGUAGAUAUUAUGUAGAACACCAGUUGCGAAGGCGGCUUUCUGGAUCAACACUGACGCUGAGGCGCGAAAGUAUGGGUAGCAAAGAGGAUUAGAUACCCUCGUAGUCCAUACCAUAAACGAUGAUUGCUAGAUGUUGGAAAUUUAUUUUCAGUAUCGCAGCUAACGCAUUAAGCAAUCCGCCUGGGGAGUACGACCGCAAGGUUAAAACUCAAAUGAAUUGACGGGGACCCGCACAAGCGGUGGAGCAUGUGGUUUAAUUCGAAGAUACGCGCAGAACCUUACCAACCCUUGACAUGUCUGUCGCGAGUUUAGGAAACUAGACUUUUCGGUUCGGCCGGACAGAACACA